rnacentral:misc_RNA from 1 species
UCCGGCGAAAAGCCGGCAGUCUCGUCUGAAAAAUCCAACAGACGAUGAGGGUUUCGCUCGUUUACCCACUUAAGGGUACAGCUCACGCCACGAGCUGACGACAGCCGUGCAACACCUGUCUUAUGGCUCCCUUGCGGGCACUUUCCUGUUUCCAGGAAAUUCCAUAGAUGUCAAACCCUGGUAAGGUUCUCCGGUUACCGUCGAAUUAAACCACAUGCUCCACCGCUUGUGCGAUCCCCCGUCAAUUCCUUUGAGUUUUAGUCUUGCGACCGUACUUCCCAGGCGGCACACUUAACGCGUUAGCUUCGCUACAAGAAGGGUCGAUACUUCUGAUAGCUAGUGUGCAUCGUUUACGGCGUGGACUA